AAUAAUAAAGAAAUCUAAAAAAUAUGGAGAAGAAUGAACAUGGUUCAUUAGGAGGAAAAUCAAUGAGGGUGGUUUCUUUCUGUGUGAAGCGCAGGUUUCAUUUUACGCAGCUGUGCCUGGAGUCAGCUAGGGAGGUUUCCCUUCUCCCAUUUUAACGUGGGUAGCAGUGGCAGCUUGCAGGAAGAAGCUCUCAGUGCUUAGCACACCAUCCGUCCUGAAAGGC
rnacentral:lncRNA from 1 species